UGUUCUCAGUCUAUCACUAGAGGUGCUGUUCCUCACGGUAUCACUAGAGGUGCUGUUCUCAGUCUAUCACUAGAGGUGCUGUUCCUCACGGUAUCACUAGAGGUGCUGUUCUCAGUCUAUCACUAGAGGUGCUGUUCUCAGUCUAUCACUAGAGGUGCUGUUCUCAGUCUAUCACUAGAGGUGCUGUUCCUCACGGUAUCACUAGAGGUGCUGUUCUCAGUCUAUCACUAGAGGUGCU